GUGAACCUUAGGCUUUCUUCCAAAAUUUAUCUAUUUUUUAUUUCUAAUAAAUUUAUUUAAAUAAUUUAUCUUAUUAUCUUAAAUAGAUAAAUAAAUAAACCUUUGUUGUCAUCCCGGAAAUAGACCUAUAUAUAAAUACAUCGACACAUGAAGCUGAUGGAUGAAGUCAGGCGGCAUCACAGCGGACGGACGGCUUUAGCGGGACUGCCUAUUGCUUGUAGUGGAGCGCUUCUCUCUCUCUCUCUGCGUUCCUCAAUCUCUGCUACCGCGAGGGCGAUCGGCCGUCCUGGGUUCUCGACGGAAUGCAGUAAGUCAAUCUCCUCACUGGUGGCGUAUCUCGUGACUACGGCGCGCAGGGGCGGUGUUUGUGAUAAGUCCUCCCUUGUUCUGGCCUGUAUCAAGCGGGCGGGUGAAGCUCCUUCUUUCGUUGCUUUGAGGCCGCUCGAUGUGUGUGAUUAGUCCUUUGGAGUUCUUGGCUGGAUUGGGUGGUCGAGGCUCCUCAUUUCGUCGUUUCGAGGCCUCUCUGAGUGUUUGCGAUAAGUCCUUCCGUGUCCUUGGCUGGGCCGGGUGCGCGAGGCUACUCAUUUCUUUGUCUCGAGGCGCGCAGGAGGCUCGGGACGAGGGUCUUCCCUUCUAUUUUCGGAGACAGCGGAGUUCAGGUUCGGAUUCGUCAUCGGCGGCGGGGAUGGCGUUGGCAACUCCGUGCAGAAUCUGUUGGCUUGCCUCUACCGGACUCAGCUCGGUAGCCGUUCUUGCUUCAUCGGCACUACGUGGAGCAAAGUGAUCGAGGGGCCAAGGGUUGAGCACGGGGAUUGAGGGUUGUGACGGCCAGUGCCUCUGCAAAGUGGACAUCAAACCGUGGGCUUUAUCCACGAAGAAAUGAUCUAAGAGGUGAGAGCAGCAAAGUGGACAUCUUCUGAGAUUUGUCUGUUGCCAAGUUUGGGAUGGGAACUCAGCCAUUGGAAGGUUACUAUGUCACUGUCUUCUUUGAUCUCCAGAUGGUCCUCCUGCUCGUCGAUCUGGCCAAGGAGGCCCACAAUAAAACUACAGCGUGACCCUCUGUAUUCAAAUGUGGUUUUGGUGGCCAUGAGGGAACCCAUAUAUGGGAAGACGGUCCGACAAUGGACAAAUUCAUCAUGUUGCAAUUGGGUACGACAUGAUUGGGAAUUGGGAUAGGUAUCCAUUCCUUUAAAUCCUUAUUGAUAUGAAGCGGGUAAUGCAGGUCAAGCUAUUUGUGUGGGAAUUCCAUGGAAACCAGGCAAUCCUGGUUGACAUCCUUCCCCAUAGAGGUAUUUUGGAAUGUUCACAACUGGCUUCUUAGAACUCCUGGUGGAAAUGCAGUCUUCAUGUUUCAACAUUGCCUCUAAGUGGAAAAAUUGUUGUUGGCAUUGAUAUUGCAGGGUUUCAGACAAUUCCAAUUUCAAGGCGUUGGCUUUUCAUUGAUGUUACAUGCUUCAAUAAACAAGUAAGACGAUGCAGGAUAAUAUUUUUGCUUGCAUUUUUAUUUGAGUUCGAACACUAGCUAGCAAGUAAUUGUUUUGACAAUGUAAGUGGGGCUCCCAUUUCCUUCAUAUCUUUUACUACUUAAAACUCUUUCCUGUUUGACUAGGUGGCAAGCUUCUAAUACUUCUUUAGAUUCCUCAGCAUGUUUCUUCUCUCUUUGUUCAAUCAUGGCUUAUUGUAGGAAAAAUUAAUGCUUGCUAUUUAACCAUAAAUAAAAUAUGUUCCCUUCUCUAUUCAUUCAAGAAUAAUGGGGAUACAGAAUUUAUUUUGUUGCUAAAGCUGAGCUGACGAGGACAAGCAUGGGUCUGGUACAUACUUUUUACGAAUGAUAUCCUUUUUGAUGCAUGUUACUCUUAUUGUGAAUGCUUGUUUUCUGAGUAAGGUUUGAUGAUUUUAUUUUCUUAGUAAUUACUGUGGGGUGAAAUAAUUUUAACCAUUAUAACAUGAGCUGUGAAGCCACACAUAAAGCCUUUGCGAUCCUGUCGUUUACUUAUGUUACCAUAAUUCAUGAAAGAUUUAACUAUCAGUUUUAAUAAUUAUAAAGGUGGUCAAAAUAUAGAGAAUGAUUGGCAAAAAUCAUAAAAAUCUUAUCAUGUCUAAAGAUUUGGUAAAGUCUAAGCUAAGCUUGAUUAUUGUUACAAUAGAUAUAGGUUACAUAAAACCAUGUAAAUGUUUGUCUUAUUUUUCUACCUAAAUUCUUCUUGUUUAUUUUUUAUUAACAUCAGCUGUCAUCAGUUCCACUCUUUAAAGAAUAAAUGAUACUGUCACUGGCCAAUUUCCACAAAAUUUAGGAAAAGUUUAACCAUGUUUUCAGUAGUUUCCCUAUAUGUGAGCUUUUGUACAGUACUUUAAGCAUAAUCCAUUAGCCAGCAAAUGUCAUAUAAAAUAAUAUUCACAAUCUUAUUGUCUUGCACUUUGGCCAACUCCUGCAUCAUAAGUGGAUUUGAAAUAUUCUAUAAAUCUUAUCCUAACCAUGUCUCCAUACUAAAUUUGGUCACUGUUUGCAAUGGAGCUAAAAUGAAUUAACAUGACAACUAGUUAUAUUCUUUAAGAUAUUAGACAAUAAUUUUGGAGCUAUUAAUUCCCAUUUGUUCAUUGCUGACUUCGUCUAUAUGUGAGCAUGGCAAUUGCAAGUUAAACAUCAACUUCUUGAAUUAAAAGGGUCUCCUUGCAAGAGACCCUCUGCUUGUUUUGUUGAGAGUUUAAGAAAUGGUAGGCCACCAUUAGUUGAGAAGCAGGAAAGAGAGGAAAAAAAAGUUUAGCUGACAUCAUGCAGAUUGUUUGAAGAGAGAGCAUUGUGCCUUCUGAUAUCUGAGAAACUUAUUGGGCAAUGUUCAAGAGGAGGAUGGAAAUGGACUUCCACCUGAGCCUAAAGCAGACUGAGGGUUGUUUACUCUCCUUUUCUGCUCAACCUGCAUUCAACCACCACCAAUGAGCCAAUAAUAUACCCACCUUCACUUCUCCUGCAGAUGG